rnacentral:sRNA from 1 species
UGUAAUUUCAGUACUUUGAGAGGCUGAAGCAGGAAGAUGACCUGAGCCCAGGAGUUUGAGACCAGUUUGGCCAACAUAGUGAGACCCUAUCUCUACACACACACAUUUUUUUUUUAAUUAGCCAGGUGUGGUGGCUCAUACCUGUAGUCCCAGCAACUCAGGAGGCUGAGUACAUCUCUUCACAUAUUAAAGACUUGAAGAGUGAAAUGUUUGAGGAACUCCUUAAGCACCUUUGCCACUCUGCAGAUGAAUUUCGGGAGGUCAUAAAAGCUGACAUGCGGAGGCAGAUGUUCGCUGAACUCUUCCUACAUUGUGACCACGGGAAGGUAGGGUUUUUGGAUCGGCAGAGGACAUUGGCCCUGCUGGAAUUGUUCUAUGACCAUAGUUCACAAAUGCUUAGGAGUUUACUUCGAAACCCACGACAAUGGCCAUUCAUUGAAUUUGAAGAGAUAAAUUUGACUGAGUUGUGGGGAGACAUGGAUAAUCAGAAACACAUUUAUGAAGGU